GAUGAAGAACGCAGCGAAAUGCGAUAAGUAAUGUGAAUUGCAGAAUUCAGUGAAUCAUCGAAUCUUUGAACGCACAUUGUGCCCCCUGGUAUUCCGGGGGGCAUGCCUGUCCGAGCGUCAUUACAACCCUCAAGCUCAGCUUGGUGUUGGGCCCCGCCGCCCCGGCGGGCCCUAAAGUCAGUGGCGGUGCCGUCCGGCUCCGAGCGUAGUAAUUCUUCUCGCUCUGGAGGUCCGGUCGUGUGCUCGCCAGCAACCCCCAAUUUUUUUCAGGUUGACCUCGGAUCAGGUAGGGAUACCCGCUGAACUUAAGCAUAUCAAUAAGCGGAGGA
rnacentral:misc_RNA from 1 species